UACGUAGGUGUCGAGCAUUGUCCGGAUUUAUUGGGCGUAAAGCGCCCGCAGGCGGCUUGGCAAGUUCGAGGUGAAAUCUCCCGGCUCAACUGGGAGGGUGCCUCGGAAACUGCCAGGCUUGAGGCAGGGAGAGGGAUGUGGAAUUCCCGGUGUAGCAGUGAAAUGCGUAGAUAUCAAGUGGAACAUCUGUGGCGAAGGCGGCCAUCUGGACCAGCACUGACACUGAGGCACGAAAGCGUGGGGAGCAAACAGG
rnacentral:rRNA from 1 species